ensembl:lncRNA
CUUGUCAGUACAUUUACCAGCACACCAUAAUAGCACAAAAAUAACAAUAAAAUGAAUACAAUUAAAUAAUAAUAAUAAUAACAAUAAUAAUAAUAAUUGCAUUUAAACUGUAGUUAACAUGCAGUUAAUUGUCUGAAAACAUUACAUUCAGUUCACACUUAAGUAUGUUCUUUUAAAGUAUAUUGUUCCCAUAAGUACACAUUUCUUUUAAAAUAUGCUAAAGUGCACUUGUUACUACUCGUUACUAAGAGAACAAUAUUCUGGUCAUUGUGUAAAACAAUAAAUCUCUGUUGGUCAGUUGAAUGCAAGCAAUUAAAUUAGAUUUUUAUUGGAUUUAUGAAGUCUUACCUGAAUGACUGACACAGUAGCUGUCUUGGGAUUCAGUGUGCUAUCUCUCUCUCUCUCUCUCUCUCUCUCUCACUUCCGGUGUGACUGUUGAGCGAGGGUGUGGUGCAGAGCGGUUUUGCAUGAGUAAAUGUGAGAUUGGGAGCGUGUCUCUUUUUUCUCUACCUAUUUUCUUUCUUUUUUCUUCUAUGUUGUUUUAGUUUUAUUUAGUUUAUUAUUAGUGGUGUAGUUUAAGCGGAUUAGUUGUCUUAGUGGAGGCGACGACCGGUGUAACCGGGAGUCAUGCCGGUUCGCGGUGUUGGAGGAGCGGGGCUUGAAACGCUCACGCGUCGACAUGCUUUUAAACUUUGUCCAAGUAUAGACUGUUCUGUGGAGGAUUGCGCUUUGGCAGUCGGGGGGAUUGUUGGUUAUGAUAGCGUUAAAUCCGCGUCAAGGAUGAACAACGGUGUCGUGAUCUUUGUAGAUAGUUUUGAUAAAGUUGCAACAAUUGUUGAACAAGGAGUAACGAUCAAAGAUAUCUUGGUCCAAGCGGUGCCGCUCGUUAAUCCGGCAAAAAAGAUCAUUUUGUCGCAAGUCCCUCCGUUUAUUAGUAACGAAAUGUUAGAGAGAGAACUGUCGAGACAUGGGCAGCUAAUGUCUCCGAUUAAAACAAUUGGCCUUGGCUGUAAAUCUCCGCAUUUGAGACAUGUUGUCUCUUUUAGAAGGCAGGUUUUCAUGAUUCUUAAAAACAACAGUGAAGAAUUAAAUUUAGUGUUCAAGUUCAGAGUGGAUGAUUAUGAUUACAACGUUUAUGUAACGUCUGGAAAAAUAAAAUGUCUAGGAUGUGGAACGGAGGGCCAUCUCAUACGAGCAUGCCCAAAGAAAUUCCCUGUUGGGAUUAAUAAUAAGACCAUAGAACAGGGUGAGUCAAGUAAAUCUCAGAGACAUAAAAAAAAUGAAUCAAACGAUUUUCAGGAACAAAAAUUGGACAAAACAAAUAAAAUACAAAGUGAAGUAAAUGAAACUCAGGGACAAAAACAAAGUGAAUCAAAUGAAAAUCAGGGCCAAAAACAAAGUGAGUUAAUUGAAACGCAGGGACAAAAACAAAGUGAAUCAAAUGAAACUCAGGGACAAAAACAAAGUGAGUUAAUUGAAACUCGGGGACAAAAACAGAGUGAAUUAAUUGAAACUCAGGGACAAAAGCAGAGUGAAUCAUAUGAAAUUCAGGGACAGAAACAGAGUGAAUCGGAUAAAACUCAGGGGAAAAAACAGAAUGAACUACAACUUUCUCAGGGACAAAAACGUAAUGAAUCAGACGGGUUAAAAACGGAAAAAUCACACAAAGCUCAGAAGCUUGAACAAAAUAAAAGAUCAACACAGAGGAAUGAAGAGCUUUUUCAGGCUCCUUCUCCAGUUAAGAACAGUCGACAGCAUGAUAUGGAAAAGGCCAGAAAUAGCACUCAGAAAGAAGUAGAGGAAGUGGAAUAUCCUUUGACUGAAGAAAGUGAGAUGCUGGUGGAUGACAAAUUUGACGAUGAUAAUGUUAAGGGAAAAACAGCAAGAGAUGAGUUUCAGUUCUCUGGAAAAACGAAAAUUUUUCCUCUUCAUGAUUGCUCCCAAACUUCUUAUAGUGACAUUGAGGUAGACUCUGAUGCAGAAUCUUUAGUUUCCUCACAAUCUUUGCCCCUGGAAAGAGGGGGCUACUCUAUGUUGAGUAUUAAGAAGUUUCUUAAGAGCACUAAAGGAGCUAGGAAUGUUAAACUUGAGAGUGCGUUUCCUGAUCUGCAACUUUUUAUUGAUUCAGUUAAGAAUUUUCAAAAAAGUUCUGAAAGUGCAGGGGAAAAAAUCUUUACUGAUCAAGAAAGGUUUCGCUUAAAGAAACUGGUUUUAAA